GGGGUUGUGGCUCAGUGGCAGAGCACUUGCCUAGCAGGUGUGAGGCACUGGGUUCAAUUCUCAGCACCCCA
rnacentral:tRNA from 1 species